rnacentral:rRNA from 1 species
AUGAGCUUCAACGAUCUAACAUGGCAGAUCCCAGAAUCAAUAUGUGGUCUAACAGACCUCGAGGUGCUAGACUUGUCAAGCAACCAUCUCACAGGUGCAAUCCCAGCUGCAUUGAACGGACUACACUCCCUUUCAGCUUUCAAAGUCUCUAGCAACAAUCUGGAAGGUCCUAUUCCAUCUGGAGGCCAGUUCGACACAUUUCCAAAUUCUAUCUUCAAUGGGAACACAAAGCUCUGUGGUACUAUCCUCCAUCGCAACUAUAGUUCAGCAAAAGUACCUCAAGCUACCAUUCUUACAAAAGAAGAAGUUUUUGCGAUUGCCUUCAGUGUGUUCUUUUGUGUAGGUGUGUUGUAUGAUCAGAUAUUUUUAUCAAGGUUUUUUCUUAGAACUAGGCGAUAG